AAGUCGUGAUGUGGACAGUUGCGUAAAAAAUCAUUGUAUCUCUCCCAUGCCUCAUAUAAUGAUUCACCCUUAAAUUGGGUGAAGGUAGUGAUAUCAUUCCUUAACUU